rnacentral:misc_RNA from 1 species
AACACUGUUAACCUGCGGUACCUGCGGAGGGAUCAUUAACAAGCUGUGGGAGAUCGAUCAAUUUGAUCUCACACCUGGCCAACCUUGUUAACCUUAAAUAUAUUGCUUUGGUGAGCCCUGCUCACCAAAGUCAAACCCUAAACUCUUGAUUGUUUCUGCUGUCUGAGCAUGCAAGUGCAAAAUUUAGUUAAAAACUUUUAGCAACGGAUCU